UGCUUCAGCUGCGAGAUGUCC
rnacentral:misc_RNA from 1 species